CGAAUCGUCAGGCCUUGUGCCGGCGAUGGCUCUAUCAAAUUUCUUCCCUAUCAACUUUCGAUGUUUGGGUCUUGUCCAAACAUGGUGGCAACGGGUAACGGAGAGUUAGGGCUCGACUCCGGAGGAGGAGCCUGAGAAACGGCUACUACAUCCAAGGAAGGCAGCAGGCGCGCAAAUUACCCAAUCCCGACGCGGGGAGGUAGUGACAAUAAAUACUGAUACAGGGCUCUUUUGGGUCUUGUAAUCGGAAUGAGUACAAUUUAAAUCCCUUAACAAGGAACAAUUGGAGGGCAAGUCUGGUGCCAGCAGCCGCGGUAAUUCCAGCUCCAAUAGCGUAUAUUAAAGUUGUUGUGGUUAAAAAGCUCGUAGUUGAACCUUGGGCCUGGCUGGCCGGUCCGCCUCACCGCGUGCACUGGUCCGGCCGGGCCUUUCCCUCUGCGGAACCCCAUGCCCUUCACUGGGUGUGGCGGGGAAACAGGACUUUUACUUUGAAAAAAUUAGAGUGCUCAAGGCAGGCCUAUGCUYGAAUACAUUAGCAUGGAAUAAUAGAAUAGGACGUGUGGUUUUAUUUUGUUGGUUUCUAGGACCSCCGUAAUGAUUAAUAGGGACAGUCGGGGGCAUCAGUAUUCAAUUGUCAGAGGUGAAAUUYUUGGAUUUAUUGAAGACUAACUACUGCGAAAGCAUUUGCCAAGGAUGUUUUCAUUAAUCAGGAACGAAAGUUAGGGGAUCGAAGACGAUCAGAUACCGUUGUAGUUUUAACCAUAAACUAUGCCGACUAGGGAUCGGACGAUGUUACAUUUUUGACGCGUUCGGCACCUUACGAGAAAUCAAAGGCUUGGCUCCAGGGAG
rnacentral:rRNA from 1 species